UCUACGGGCGGCAGCAGUGAGGAAUAUUGGUCAAUGGGCGCGAGCCUGAACCAGCCAAGUCGCGUGAGGGAAGACGGUCCUAUGGAUUGUAAACCUCUUUUGUCGGGGAGCAAAAGACGCCACGUGUGGCGUUCCGAGAGUACCCGAAGAAAAAGCAUCGGCUAACUCCGUGCCAGCAGCCGCGGUAAUACGGAGGAUGCGAGCGUUAUCCGGAGUGACUGGGUGUAAAGAGUUGCGUAGGUGGCAUAAUAAGUAGCUAGUGAAAUCUGGUGGCUCAACCAUUCAGACUAUUAGCUAAACUGUUAAGCUCGAGACCGUUAGGGGUAACUGGAAUUUCUAGUGUAGGAGUGAAAUCCGUAGAUAUUAGAAGGAACACCAAUAGCGUAGGCAGGUUGCUGGGACGGUUCUGACACUAAGGCACGAAAGCGUAGGGAGCAAACGGGAUUAGAUACCCUUGUAGUC
rnacentral:rRNA from 1 species